UGGGGAAUAUUGCACAAUGGGCGCAAGCCUGAUGCAGCCAUGCCGCGUGUAUGAAGAAGGCCUUCGGGUUGUAAAGUACUUUCAGCGGGGAGGAAGGUGUUGUGGUUAAUAACCACAGCAAUUGACGUUACCCGCAGAAGAAGCACCGGCUAACUCCGUGCCAGCAGCCGCGGUAAUACGGAGGGUGCAAGCGUUAAUCGGAAUUACUGGGCGUAAAGCGCACGCAGGCGGGCUGUCAAGGCGGAUGUGAAAUCCCCGGGCUCAACCUGGGAACUGCAUCCGAAACUGGCAGGCUUGAGUCUUGUAGAGGGGGGUAGAAUUCCAGGUGUAGCGGUGAAAUGCGUAGAGAUCUGGAGGAAUACCGGUGGCGAAGGCGGCCCCCUGGACAAAGACUGACGCUCAGGUGCGAAAGCGUGGGGAGCAAACA
rnacentral:rRNA from 1 species